ACCCUUAUGGUGUAGUGGUAGUACACUUCACUCUUAUGGAUCAGGUAACUUAUACAUAGUCCAUGCGGCAAGUUGUCUGGUUUAGUGUCAAAGAGGUCAGGGGUUUAAUUCCUCCUGGGGGCA